rnacentral:rRNA from 1 species
GUGGGGAAUAUUGGGCAAUGGGGGAAACCCUGACCCAGCAACGCCGCGUGAAGGAAGAAGGUUUUCGGAUCGUAAACUUCUAUCCUUGGUGAAGAUAAUGACGGUAGCCAAGAAGGAAGCCCCGGCUAACUACGUGCCAGCAGCCGCGGUAAUACGUAGGGGGCAAGCGUUGUCCGGAAUGAUUGGGCGUAAAGGGCGCGUAGGCGGCCUGGUAAGUCUGGAGUGAAAGUCCUGCUUUUAAGGUGGGAAUUGCUUUGGAUACUGUCGGGCUUGAGUGCAGGAGAGGUAAGCGGAAUUCCCGGUGUAGCGGUGAAAUGCGUAGAGAUCGGGAGGAACACCAGUGGCGAAGGCGGCUUACUGGACUGUAACUGACGCUGAGGCGCGAAAGUGUGGGGAGCAAACAGGAUUAGAAACCCGGG